GUCUAACCUGCCCACUGAAAUUUUAAAUGGCCGCAGUAUUUUAACUGUGCAAAGGUAGCAUAAUCAUUAGUCUUUUAAUUGAAGGCUGGAAUGAAUGGUUGAAUGAAAUAUUAACUGUUUCAUAAAAAUUUAAAAUAGAAUUUUAUUUUUUAGUUAAAAAGCUAAAAUGAAAUUAAAAGACGAGAAGACCCUAUAAAUCUUUAUAUUUUUAUAUUUUUAAUUAUAAAGAAAAAUUUAAUUAUGAUUAUUUAAAAUAUUUUAUUGGGGUGAUAUUAAAAUUUACAAAACUUUUAAUUAAUAAUUUACAUAAAUUAAUGAGUUAUUGAUCCAUAAAUUAUGAUUAAAAAAUUAAGUUACUUUAGGGAUAACAGCGUAAUUUUUUUAGAGAGUUCAUAUUGAUAAAAAAGAUUGCGACCUCGAUGUUGGAUUAAGAUAUAGAUUUAGGUGCAGAAGUUUAAAUCU
rnacentral:rRNA from 1 species